AGCGCAGGCGGAUGUUUAAGUCUGAUGUGAAAGCCCGGGGCUCAACCCCGGGACUGCAUUGGAAACUGGGCAUCUUGAGUGUCGGAGAGGUAAGUGGAAUUCCUAGUGUAGCGGUGAAAUGCGUAGAUAUUAGGAGGAACACCAGUGGCGAAGGCGGCUUACUGGACGACAACUGACGCUGAGGCUCGAAAGCGUGGGGAGCAAACA
rnacentral:rRNA from 1 species